rnacentral:misc_RNA from 1 species
GUCACGAGGUCUUGCACACAGGGCAAAGUUGGAUGGAAAUACCAGACUUUUGGACUUCACUGAGAAACUGGAAAAAGGCUGUGUUGGAGCAGUUGAAUCAGGGAAGAUGACCAAGGAUCUUGCGCUACUUAUUCAUGGGCCUAAGGUUACGAGGGAUCAGUACCUAAAUACAGAGGAGUUCAUCGAUGCUGUGGCUGAGGAGCUGAAAGCAAGAUUGUCUGCCAAAGCAAAGUUAUAAAUUCUAGGUCUCAAACCUGGCUAGGUGCUUUGUGAUAAUAAUUAGUUUCAAUUCAUACAUGGUAUAUACUUACAUAAUUUUCAGUUUCGGCUAUCUUUUGUCGAUUUUUAUCCAUAUUUUAGUUCUCUGUUUCAUUCUUGAUCAGAGAGAGGAAGUUAAAUGGGCCAUGGUUUUCACCGCACUUCGCUCAACUUUGACAAAUGAUAGUGUCUGAAGGAUGGAUAAAUUGUCUCAAUAAUGUCAAAUUGUAUAUUAUCAGGAACUAAUUUUCUUUCACUUACUACAUUAGUGCUAAUAUGGGACCAUCUAAUCCUCUGGGUCUUACAAUUGGUUUGUGACUUUAGUUUGAUGUGACCAUUAGAAUUGUGAUAGACUAUUGGUUGAAAGCAUGGCUUUUGAUGGGCUUUCCUUGACUUCUGGAGAAAGACUCUUCAAUGGUGUGGUUUAAUGGGGAAAAAAUUUGAUUAUUAUAUAUUCUUUGCAUUGAUGGUUUCUGAAUGGCUUUAGGGACUCAUCAAGGAAAUUAUUUAUAUAGAAGAAUAAAAAAGAAAAAGAGCUCAGAUGUUUGUAAAUAGGAGACAGGUGGCAAAAACAUUCUUUGAAGUCACUGUUGAAUCUUAUGUAAUCUUUUUUAUCCUCACAUUUUAUCUGACAUGCUUAAGAUUAAAGAUU